CUCUCUCUCUCUCUCUCUCUCUAAGUUUUCCGAAAAAUGCUGCAUCAACGCUCUGGCGCCGCUUCAACUGUCAGUUUGUUGCUCCCGGGGAGAUCGGAGAUUCUCUCUCCUCCGCCGCGGGGCUUCUUGAUGGCGUACGCCUCCGGCAUUAUCGCGCCCGAUCGAUCAGCCUGCCGCCUUCCCUGCAUCUACGAGGAAUGAGACUCCGAGCUUCUUCUUAAAUGGUACGAUGUAUCCUCUGCUCCUGCGCAUUUAAUGCUUCCGUCUUCUCGAAGGCAACAAUUCUGGUAUUCUCUCUCUCUCUUCCUCUCUCCUGUUUUCUAUGAUCGUAGAACUCGUACCUGAUGCAUUUACUGCCGCGUUAAUCGCCAUCGGCUUAGACGAUUUUCGAUUCACAGUUACUGCGGAUCACCGAGCUCGCUGAUCCUCGCCAUCUUCUCGAUUCUUUUUUGGAGCCUUCCCCCUCUCGUUUAUAUUUUUUUUCUAGUGCGCGAUCUCGAUCUCGCCAACUUGAGAUUCCAUCCGCGAUCCGUCUGGUUUACCUCUUUCCUAUCCUCUCCCGGAUGCUUCUUGCCUGCAGAUUCGGUCCUUCCCCCGUCGUCAAACUUUGAGAUCUUCUUUGUCGUGCACGUCGUGUAACAGGCGAUGCUGCUGCUGCUGCUGGGCGGCGGAGAAUAGAUCGGAGGAAUGUGGAUUCUAGGGCUUGCGACCGGAUGCAUGUGCUGGUUCCCGUCGUCUAGAUAAUCCCCUGCAAAUCGAAGGGACAAUGUGCUUAUUAAACAAUAGCGAUCACCAGACUAGAUGGAAAUCGGAGGAGCAGGGGGAGAGCUAUAAACAAAUGGCGGAGCGGGCGGUGGCGCCUGUUUAGUUGUUCCCGGAGCUUCCUUCCUUCCAUUACUGUACUACUCCAGAGGGCUUUCUGUGAUGGAUUGAGGAAGAGGAAGCGUUUCUCCGAGAUUCUGGACUCGUCGAAAGGGGAUCUGUCGAGCACACCUGACGAUGAAGUUCAUGAAGCUCGGAUCCCGGCCGGAUGCUUUUCACACGGAUGGGAAGGAUGUCAGGUGAGGCCUCGGCUCCUGGAACUUGGGAAGAUCCUGAUCUCCUCUUCUUCAAUUCCUUCGCUCAUCCACGAAUCUCUGCUCUUCCUCUCCGACCUUCUGCGUGAAACGAUCUUCGAACCUGCAUUGUAGCACCGGGUUGUUCGCUUGCCAUUUGCCCGAGGAAUUCAAAUUAAUCACUGAAGAAUGUCGACAUUGCUUUGAAAUGCAUGAUCAUAAUCGUUCAUCAUCUUCUGUUUGUUGAUGACAUCUUAGCUUUUGCCAGUGACUGCUGAACGAUCGAUCUAUCUCGUGAUUGCAG
rnacentral:lncRNA from 1 species